CGCUGCCAUUCUUACUGCUUUAUUUUUUCAAACAACAUAGAAGUUAAAGCUUUGUUUAAAAGAACAGCUUUUUCUUGUAGUCGGUGAUGUCUCAUCCACUAUAACAUCAAAAUGUUUCAGUUAGUUGUCGAUCACUAUACAGAUGAGAGGGGAAUAAUUGGCUGCCUUCAACGAGGCACAGAAAUGAAAAUAUUCUCUACAAGCAAAAAAAAAGAUCCUUGGCUCCAUAUCACUGUUUGCUCAACGUUUAUGAUAACUGAGAGAUACCUCUUUGACUAUAAAGCAAUGAAAACUUAAAGUUAUUAUCUACUUCCAGAGGACUGGGGAGCUUAUUUACUGAAUCAUACAGCAAUGUAUCGUUCAGAUAAGUUAGCAUUUGGUCUGGAAAAUUGUGAAAUACGAUAUUUCAACACUUCUCCUCUCCUGCCAAGGGAGCUUCGGAAUCACAGAAGACAGUUUAUUUUGAACAUAUGGAAAAGAUGAGGAAUGUCCUCCCAGAGAUAACCAUCUCUAACCUGCAGUUGACAGGAUCUUCAGACCUUCUCCAGCUAUUAGACGUUACUUUUGUACAUUAGGACAGCGGGAGUCACGUGAGGAGCAACCAUACCUUUAACACCCAUUUCUCUGGCUCAUGAGGACACAGUGCAUCACCAACCAGUGAGCAAGACAGAUCUGAGGAGAUUUUCCAAGUACUUGAUGGCAGCCUUAAGUUAAAUUAAUGCAUCUGAAGGAAGCAAAAGUGUCUCAUUACAAAAAGUGCCAUGGAAAAGGUUGGAUAGUUAAACAGAUGAGCUCUGAAUACUUCUUUCCCUUACAAACUCCAAACACUGUAGGAGUAGAAGCAUUUAACAUGAAGAGAUGAGUUUGCAGUGCAGGGAUGGUCACACCCAGGCAAGGGAGAAGAAGGAAGCAAAUCACAGCAAAUCACAGAAUCUAAUGCAGGUAAAACAAGUUCAAUUAAUUGAAGGCUUAACCUUCUGCCCUCUGGCACUGAUCUCCCUUUCAGCAGUCAGAUAUUCCUGCCUGGACCCGGGCAGUUGGGUGACAAUUUACAGUUCUGCAAGUGUCCAUUGGGAAAAAUGUACUGUGUAUAAAGUAAAAUUAACAGCCUCAGAAGUAAAGGCCCCCUGGCUUUGUCCGCCCAACUGCUUUGAACUAAACUAAGUUCUGGAAAUGUCCCAGGGUAUCAGCUCUGGACAAUAAUGUGCACGAAGAGUUUGAAACCUUCAGUUCUCAUCCCAGAGGAGUCUGAGCCAAGAGCCCCUGGCUUUCUCUGGCCCAACAUCUACAGAGCCAAUGACCCUGACUCCUCAGCUUUCAUCUGUAGCAGCUGUUUUUUCUAACCACCGUCCACCCAAGGAGCAAAAAAGUGACCACUUAACCUACUUACAAAUUCAGAAAAGGAGAUUCAGCACCAAAUGGGCGAACAAAUCUCUCACAAGACAGGAGACUAAAAGCAUCAAUGCAAUCUUGGCCCCUCUUGCCCUCCUAUUUGCAAAGGCCCAUUCUUACAACUGUGGCCAGUAAUUUCUAUGGCCAGCACAAAGGAAGGACUGUGAUGGUGAUGUUUAAUGGGUAACUUCUUUCGCAAGAACUUUAUGAUGUCUUUUGUAGUCAGUGACAGCCUGACCAAAAAUACUCACCCAUAGGUCAAGUACAUUCACCCUUACAGAGGAAGAAGACAUCACAGGUCUCGGCUGAUGGGUUGAGCAUUAACAGUAACACAAUAAAAUAAUGGAUAUAAUGGGAACAAAGUACCAAUUAUAGGAACAUGUCAUAAAAGCAAAUUUAAAGUAAAGUUUCAGUGAGAUUGGAAAGAAUCUAUGGUUGCACCCCUUGGUAUAGAUGAGAAAGGAGGCUAAAAAGGGAGUAAGGGGGAAGCAAGAGGAGGUCUUACACAGUCAGCCACUUUAGCGGUUAUCCUCAGCCUCCUCUAUUUUCUGCAUUUUUUUUUUUUCUGUAAAGAUUUGCUCAUCUGCCUGUUGCAGUGAGGACAAUGUAAGGGGAGAAAACACAAGCCAACUUUCCUUGAGUACAAAUUGUUGCAGAGGGCUCAGGAACAGCUUGGCAGCAGUGAAAGCCCAGGGCAUGCCUCUACCUGUUUGCAGCAAGAUGAUGCUUUUAAUUCCCUCUGUUUACUCUCCCCACUGUUCCCAUCCCCAUAGAAAAAAUAAAAUAAAUGCCUUUGUUAUUUACAGUCUGCGCCAAGGGCAGUCAUCAAGGUUGAUUGUGGGUUUAUUGUUGCCAGCCAGACUCCCUGCUCCAGCAGGUGCCAGGCACCCUGAAUUACUCCCAUUGCACAUCGCUCCAUGGGGCAGUGAGUAAGCUGAUGAAUUCUGCUUGUUUCAUCUGGGAGGCAACUGCCUCCCUUUCUCCACAAGGAACAUCCCACAUAUAAUAAAGGUUUAUAGUCAACCAGAGCAAGACUUCAAACUCAUUCCUUCCAGAUUCAUUCAUGACGAGGGUGGGGAUGCUAGACUGCUCUGCAAUGUUUAACUCAACAAAUACUAAAAUCUCCAGAGCAAUGGCCCUUUAUCACUCCUGGUUGCUGCAGAUACAGAAUCAAAGGGCUAGCAAGCAUGUCCUGUCAGCAUAUGGUUACCCAAACUGAAACUGGAUGCAAGGUAUUUAAUAAAACACAGCUAGGAAAUAAAUGCUAUGUAUGCUAAAAAAAUCAUUACCUUGGUCAACAAACAAACCUUGGAGACUAGAGCGCAGGCCUAUCACAAAUAUUCCAAGUAUUGCUCUGUGAUGUACAGAGAGAAUUACAGCCUAAAAGACAUAGGGAGUUCUUGUCAUGAGCAGAGUGCUGAGUUUUUAGGGUUACACCUAAAGAAAAAUGGGGAGCAACUCUGGAGAGUGUGGGAACAAGAGCGGCCAGAGGUCCUGAAAACAUGAUUAGCAAAGGAAAGCUGCAUGAAUCGAGGGGAUAAAAAAAGAAGACAGGGCAGGAGAGAAGAAAUGUCAAUAAUCUUCAAAUACAUACACAUAAAGAAGCUGCAAAGAGGAAGGGACAGCUGUACUAGCAAUGUCCAGAAAAGACAGAAGUAAUGGGCUCAAACUGCCGCCAAGAAGAUUUAAAACAGACAAGGGUUAGGACAGUGACAGCAAGAGUAGACUGCUGUGAGAGUCUUUAGGGUCUCAGUCAUUAGAGAUCUCUCAAGCAUCUGUCAGCAACAGAGUACUCAUAGUCCAUCCUAAUCUCACAACUCUGCAAAACAGAAAUGAUGUACCAUCAGCCAAGAUUUCAGGUAACAACCUUAGUUUUUAUUCAAAAUGAAAUAUCAUGCAGUAUAG
ensembl:lncRNA